rnacentral:rRNA from 1 species
AGUGAACGCUGGCGGUAGGCCUAACACAUGCAAGUCGAACGGCAGCACAGUAAGAGCUUGCUCUUACGGGUGGCGAGUGGCGGACGGGUGAGGAAUACAUCGGAAUCUACUUUUUCGUGGGGGAUAACGUAGGGAAACUUACGCUAAUACCGCAUACGACCUACGGGUGAAAGCAGGGGAUCUUCGGACCUUGCGCGAUUGAAUGAGCCGAUGUCGGAUUAGCUAGUUGGCGGGGUAAAGGCCCACCAAGGCGACGAUCCGUAGCUGGUCUGAGAGGAUGAACAGCCAACCUGGAAACGAGACACCGUCCAGACCCCUACGGGAGGCAACAGGGGGGAAUAUUGGAAAAACGGGGGAAGCCUUAUCCAGGCAAAACGGGGUGGUGAAAAAGGCCUUCCGGUUGGAAAGCCCUUUUUUUGGGAAAGAAAAGCAGCAGGUUAAAACCCCGGUGUUCUGACGGGACCCAAAGAAUAAGCAACGGCUAACCUCGGG